AAUCCUGCAGAAAGGUACAUCCA
rnacentral:snRNA from 1 species